rnacentral:lncRNA from 1 species
GAUACUUCGAUUUAGGCACGAGGACAGCAUUUUUGCUUUUGUCGGCUCUGGUUGCGAUGACUUGCUCCUUAAUUAGGCAUGUGCAUGUCUGUUCUAUGCACUGUUUCAUUCUAGCAGUCAUUAGCCUAUCUGUAUUAGGCUGGGUUCUGGAUCUGAGGUAUGAAUGUACUGCCAUCCACCUAGCUUUCUGUUUCUCAACGUCGGUGGAGUCGACGGUAGCAAGGAGAUUUUCUAUUCCACAUACGGCAUCUGCUAAGCUGCAUCGGUCGUGUACGACAAAGUUUCGGCCAAAUCUUAAUGCUUCUUUGACAAAAAUAGGUAUGUCUUGGGAG